ACUUGAAACAUUCUGAGUGUGCCUGCAGUAGGGUCUCAGAGGAGUUGCUCUGAAAGCUGUUGAGAGCAGCCACCUUUGCUGUCACUGAGAGCUUGGCAGGGUCAGCUCUGGUGGGCCGUUUGCACCCAGGCUCUGAUGGCACCAGGAUGGCUUCCUGCAACCCGGAACCUGAUCCUGGCCCCCGGCAGAGCAUAAGGGCCCGAGGCCAGGGACCUAGAGGCCGGACCAAGUUCGCGCGAGGUGUUCACAGCCUAGGCGCCCCGGGCUUGGCUUCGUACUCUGCAACAAGCCAAGCUCCCUUGCCACGAGUAUAUCAGCAACUUCAGAAAUAAACACCAGCGAAACCCCUUCCCACAUUAGCUUGUUGCUGUGCUACUGACACUGGGCUUAGUCGAUGUUCACACCUAUUACAUUUUUCCGGAAAGUGGGAGGAGCAGGGGGUAGAGAAAGCUGUGUGUAUUGAGGGAAGGGGAGAUGUGUGCAACACCUUCCAGAAAAAUGGGGAGGUAGUUUAGAAAGUUUUUCUCUGUAACAGCACAGCUUCUGAGAAGGCAGAGAGAAGAAAGCAGACAGGAAACGAAUCCCUUCCUCCUCUCCCCUUUACCCCCUUCCUUCACUCCCUAGACCAAGCUGGUCACCCGGCUGGGAAUCAAGAUUGUGUGGCUGGGAAGACACCAGUCUCUGUGCUCGGGUUCAGCCCAGUCGGGCAAGAAAGUCUGGGCAGCUGGAGAAGGUCGUCACAGUCUCCCGUGGAAUCUUGUUGCCUGAGAGCCCCAUAACGGAAAGGGCUAAGACGACUCUUCCACACACAGGUCGCAGCCCCUGCCGCGGAGGAUCCCCAGGAAGAUGCUGGGGACGCUCUGAGCAUCGGCCUUUCUUUACCCCCGACUCCCUGGAGCUUGGUCUCGGGAUGCCAACUUGGGGCACGGAGGCGACGGGCUGCUCCGAAGCUGGAGGGUUUCUGCUUGGGUCAGAGGGAUCACGACCUCAGCAGAGCCAGGAGAGGUUGGGUGACACCCACUGCGUAUUGCACUUGACUCAAAACUGCCCUCGGCCUGCGGAAGAGGCGAGGGCAAGAAGCCUGGUGGCGGGUCAAACCUUCACCCUAUUAUUUUCUAUCAUUUUUUAUGCCCAUAUAUUUGUUAAAUGUAUGGCUGCUAUACACCAACAGCUUAUUCUACAAGAAGUGCCCCCGAGGAGGAUUGGGUUAAGCUUUGCAAAUUUGGCUUCCCAGGUAAUGCGCUUCAUUAUUCUGCUCCCGACUUACCCACCACACCAGUGGGUACCCGGAGCAGCACCCACUUGGCAGAACUGAUGACUGCUUGGGCCCAGCGGAGUGCGCAUUGCGCUAACACGCGCACGGGAAUUGCACCCUUGCCGGAGCCUCCGCACCGUGCGCCCUUCAAAGAGCUGGCGACCCCGCUCACGUGUAAGCAACCUCCCACUUUGAAACUAAUUCGCACCCGGGUCUUUCACCCCAAAGGACUUUGCUGCGGACGCUGCUCUGACCCAAGACGCGGGAGAGAAGUCCCAAAGGCUACAGCCAGGGGCUGGGGGACUCCUCUGCUCACCUUAGUCCUUGAUUUCGAAGGCCCCAAUUAACUAUCUGUUGUGUCAGAAUCGGCGAGUGCAAAGUAGCUGCGCCCCGCUGACGCGCUCUCUCCUGGGUCCGGGUAUCCCAGGGCAUCCGGAGCUGGGGAGGGUUGUGCGGACUACCCAAGGCACGCGCAGAUACCGGGCAGGGAAGAAGGGCUCCGUGUUCCAAGGAUGGUCGUUUACCUCUCCUGAGAUCAGCCCUAAUCCCUUGGUAACUUAAGCGCCUCUGAACUCGGGGAGCGCUUGGUGGGGCGCCUCCCUGCAUCCACCCCUACCCCUGGCUCCUUCCCAGGCCCAGCAUCUUUCCCACCAUUCUCACCCCCACCACCCCCACGGCCCCGCCCGUUUAGAGGCGUGCGGUGGGCACUUGGUUUACAGAACCGGCGUUUCAGAUGUUUAUUUGCAACUAAUUUCUUGUGCUGGAAAAUGCUUGUUACCCGGGCGGAGCGCUUCCGCUCUGCGCGGUCCGGCCCGGCGGGCGGUAGCUCGCUGAUCCCUCCGGCGAAGCCUCCAAGGAGCGGGCGGCUGGGAGAGGUUGUGCCACCCGGGACCAAGCCAUCGGCGCUGCUCCGGACUCCCGGUAGGGGGAGCCGCCGCGGGCGCCAGGCCGGAUUGUGUUCUGGCCUCGGGGCGGCCCUGCUGCCAGCGGCCGGGACUCUCAGCACAGAGCUCGGGAGGACUCCACCUGCUCUCCAGAUAAGGCGCCAUGAGCAGAGAAGGGAACAGACGGCCAAGCUCCCUCCUAAUUCCCCGUUGUUGCAGAGCAAAGAAGAUGGGGGAGAACUAAUUAUAUUCUCUAGGUCUAAAUAUUGUUGAAAAAUUUGUAGGUGAGAUCACCUCCUUUGCCCAUAUCCAUAUAUAAUAUAUCCAUUACAUGUGUUUGCCCAUAUAUAUACGUAUGCCAUAUGUAAAUAUGUACGAGUGUGUAUGUAUGUGUAUAGCAGUGGUUUAGAAUUAGUCUCAGUUCCACAAAUUUUGAGCCCUUUUAAUAUUUUAGGUGACCUAAUACCUUCUCACUGUAUUUUCCAAGUCACUUAUUUCCAAGAGUUUUAGGUGAUCCCAGCAUAGGAGCUGAGCAUAGGAGCUCAGAUGAGACUUGCCAGUUUUGCUGCAGUAAUGUCAGCAAAAGAGUCUCUCUCUUUCUGACUCUAUAGACUUAAGUAAGGGUUUACAGGCUUUCAUUUUAAGGUAUGACUGAUAUUUAGAGAACAAGACUAAACCAAGGUCAAGGGGAAAACAGUUAGACUGUGAACCUGCAGACCACUCCACUGCACCCAGUGUGGCCGUACACCUGUGCUGAACGGCCAGAGACUUCCUGGUCAAUACUCCCACAGAUAAAAGACUGCAGGAUCUGCUUAUACACAAAUCCAUCUUUCGCUGGGAACCCACAACUCAUAACAACUCUCCUAAUGCCAAGUCAUCAAGGCCUCUUGAAAGAGAAUCAUAAAAAACAAAGAAUUUCAAACUUGGAAGGAAACCUAAAGUUUACUGGUGAGGAGCUUGAACUGAGUAGAAGCAAAGAAUCAUACUCCAGAUGAGAAACGCCCCAUGCACUGAGCUGAGACUGGAACUCUCCUCUUCUUACUCUCAGUCCAGUAAGUUUGACUACAGAGCACUCAUUAUCAUUGUGAUUAUUAUGUUCCCGCAUAUUUUGUCGUUCUUAGUUAGGCAUACUCCUUUAACACUAUUGUAAUAAAAGCAAAAUCUGGAAGAUCUUU
rnacentral:lncRNA from 1 species